rnacentral:miRNA from 1 species
AUGACAGAGUGAGGGAGGUGGUGACUGUCAGUAGUCACCACCUCCCUCACUCUGUCAC